GACGAAGGGGGCUAGCGUUGCUCGGAAUCACUGGGCGUAAAGCGCACGUAGGCGGCUUUUUAAGUCAGAGGUGAAAUCCUGGAGCUCAACUCCAGAACUGCCUUUGAUACUGGAGAGCUUGAGUCCGGGAGAGGUGAGUGGAACUGCGAGUGUAGAGGUGAAAUUCGUAGAUAUUCGCAAGAACACCAGUGGCGAAGGCGGCUCACUGGCCCGGUACUGACGCUGAGGUGCGAAAGCGUGGGGAGCAAACAGGG
rnacentral:rRNA from 1 species